UACGUAGGGGGCAAGCGUUGUCCGGAUUCAUUGGGCGUAAAGAGCGUGUAGGCGGCCUGAAAGGUCAGCUGUGAAAACUCGAGGCUCAACCUCGAGACGUCGGUUGAAACCAUCUGGCUAGAGUCCGGAAGAGGAGUGUGGAAUUCCCGGUGUAGUGGUGAAAUGCGCAGAUAUCGGGAAGAACACCCGUGGCGAAGGCGGCACUCUGGGACGGUACUGACGCUGAGACGCGAAAGCGUGGGGAGCGAACAGG
rnacentral:rRNA from 1 species